rnacentral:rRNA from 1 species
AUGACAAUCGCCCAGUAUUGUCGCCGCCUCCAGCAGCUCGCCUCCGCCAUGGCCGACGUGGGUGAACCGGUCACGGAUAGGUCGCUCACUCUGCAGCUCAUCCGCGGCCUCAGCCGCCGCUUCCACGUCAUGGCCACUCUUCUCCCGAUGAAGCAGCCGUUCCCCACCUUCCUGCAGGCGCGGUCGCGCUUGCUCUUGGAGGAGAUCGGCCUCACCGAGCGGGAGCGGGCCGCUGACGCCACGGCGCUCGCCGUCGGCCACGGUAGGUCCUCCUCGUCCAGCGGCGCGUCCGCUGGAGAUCACGCGCCUCCUUCAUCACCGUAUGACAAGGGCAAGUCUUCUGCCACUAGCGGGGGCUCGGGCAGUCCCUCCGGCGACCGCCAGUGCGGUGGGCGCGGCCGUGGUCACCCCGGGGCCUCCAGCUCCACCGGCGGGCGCGGCCAGCCGGCGCAGCAGCCCUGGAUGGGCUACUUCGCCCCCUUUGGUGCCCCGCUGCCCACGCCCCAGCAGUGGCGGGCUCCCUGGACGCCGCCCAACGCCGCGGGUGUUCUUGGACCUCGUCCCGCCGCGCCGCAACACGCCUACCGCGUCAUCAGCUCGUCCUCCUCCGCCCUGCAGUACGACCAGCAGGCGCUCCUGUCCCAGUUCGCCAACAUGCAGGUGCAGCAACCGCCAUCUGGGUCCGAAUGGUACAUGGACACCGGCGCCACCUCGCACAUAGCCGGGACGUCAGGUACCCUCACCACCGUCUCCCCUUCAUCGCAUUAUCGAUCUAGCAUAACUGUCGGCAAUGGUUCUGUACUCCCUGUUGUUUCAUGCGGCUCUACUUCCCUUCCUCCCUUUCAUCUCAAUGAAAUACUUAUUUCCCCCGGCAUCAUACAAAACCUUAUUUCUGUCCGUCGUUUUACUCGUGACAAUUGGUGUAUUGUGGCCUUUGACCCGUUUGGCUUUUCUGUGAAGGACAUGCAACGGGGAAGGUGCUCAUGA